GCUGCCACCCCGGCUCCCGGGCUCCGCCUUUCCUGGCUCCCGUCAGGGAGCACAGCCCUGCCUGAGGGAGGGAGAGAGGACGGUGGUCCCCAGAACCGCCGGGUCCCUGGGCAGCUGCUGGGUUUGGGAGCUCCCUGCACGCCGGGACCUGGAAGGGGCAGCUCCCCGAGGAUGCAGAUGUGCCGGGCCUGAGGGCACUCCCGGGGUCACAGGGGAGCCCAGCUGCCGGCACACGCACCAGCCCACCGUGGUGGCCACCAGACACGCUAAUAGAAGCUUUUAUUUUCUUUUAUUCUUUUAUUCUUUUUUUUUUUUUUUUAAAUGUUUAUUUUUCAGUUCUGUUAUUGCAAAAUACCAGCUAUGACCAGCUCCUUCCUGUGGAGCCCAGCCUGCAGGAGUGCCCUGGUUUGUGCCAAGGAAAUGCUCCUGUCCCACAGUUACAGAACACCUGCCGGCUGGGGACCUGGGCUGAUGCUGGACAGGCAGCCCUUGUGCUGCAAACAGGAAAGAAUCAUUCUACACCGCACAGUGCAAGCACAAAGACAGAAAGCGAGGAGGACAGUGGCUAGCAAGGAGCAGUCACUCCCGAGGAGCAGCCCUUCCUGAGUGCAGCACGCUGCAGAUGUGUGCUUUGUCAGGGGCUGGUUGUAACUCAAAAAUGCUGUCUCUCUGUUAUGAUGUGCCAGCCCAAAUGUUGCUGCUGGAAUCAAGCACUGGAAGAGCCUGGCAAGAUAUAACCCCACCAAGGCGUCGGCCUUGUCGUGGGCCUCUUUGGUGAUUCCAAGUUUCAAUUCUGAUGGUUUGCUUGGCCACUUAUUUCUUGUCAGAUUAGCCCAAAGGUCUGAACAAAUUUAGGCUGAUUUCAAGUUGAGUGGUUGUUGCAGUGAAUAUUUUAUGGAAACUGUUGUUUAACAUUUCAGUGAAGUUUUAUCAACUUUGGCAAGACUUCCAAGCUCUUCAACUUUCACACACCUUUUAACCAUUUGAAAAGUUGUCUGCCUGGCAUUUGAAAUGCACAAAGUUACUGCCAGUUGUCAUCAGAAAAAAAUGCCUGAUAUGGGCAUAUUUGUGCUGAAGAGAGCAGGAUGACUUAUUAUGAACCUGUUUCAGUGCCUCUGAACGGUAUCCCUGCUCGUACGUGCACAUUAUUCCUCCCAGGCAAGACCAGCUGGAGGAUUCAUGGAAUGCUAGAUGCAUCAUGAAAAUUCUGCAUCGUCAGGGCAUUUAUUCUGAACAGUGUGCAGAUAUGUGUGUGGUUGGUUCACACUAUUGGGGCACCUCCGCUUUGCUUCCCUCGGCAGGCAGUUUAAACAUAGUUAGACACAUUGCAACUGAGCAGUGGUCUGGAAAUUAAAAAGUAACAUGGGAGUGCAGCCUUAAAACAAGGUCCCCUCCCUGUGCAGCAGCGAGUUAUGGACAUAGACUCAGGUGCAUUUCAGUGGUAUCUCAACUUUUUGCCUUGUUUUGCAUCUCAUGUAAUUGAAGAGCAGUCUUUGGGUUUGUUCUAGGAGGAAAUAAAUUUCUGUCAGCUCUAAUUAUCA
rnacentral:lncRNA from 1 species